rnacentral:tRNA from 1 species
GGGCAAGUACCGAAGUGGUUACCGGGGUGGCCUCAAGAUAAUCUUCUCUCGGAAUGAGAGAUAUCCACUGCAUUUAUGCGCGUCAGUUCGAAUCUGGCCUUGCCCA